CGCUUUCACUGAGCCUCCGCUGGGUGCCAGGGCCUCUUCUAAGCAGGCUGAGUGUAAUGAAGGGACCUCAGGGCCCACACUCCAGCCCCACUCCUGCUCUCAGCCCUGCACCCAUGUGGCCCCACAGGGAGCAGAAAGGACCGUGGACCUUGCCUGCAGCUCGGCCCUUCCCUGGCCACUGGACUCACUGGGAGAUCCUGCUAACCUCCUGGGGCCUUCAUUCCCUCCCUGAUGACACAGGACAGACUCUGGCCUGCCCACUUCUCAGCGGGGAUGGACGACCCCAUGAAAGAGGGUCCUCAAUGGAAGAGGACGACAGAAUCAACACACCAACCAAGCAAUCGUCUACUCAACUGCACUUCCGCAGGACAUGUUGUGCUGCCAGAGAACCAUCUACAAAGGGAAUAUAUUUUUAAGACUGUAUUCUAAUAGAUAAGGGCUUUAAAGAUGCUAAGUUUCUCAAAGCAACACUAAGUUUCUCAACACACGUGGCUGGUCCCCAGCAUGAGCCAGCUCACAACCAGUGUUUAUGACAAAGAAACGUUACUCAAAGACAUUAAAUGUAGGGUUUUAAAGGGCUGCUUUAGUAAGGCCUGACUGGUAUCUGAAGGAAAUCCCUCCAUUCCCCUCCUUGCCCAAAUAAAAUUAAAAGGGAGAAGACCUUCUCCAGGUUUUGCGCCUUGAAGGAAAU